rnacentral:rRNA from 1 species
UGGGGAAUAUUGCGCAAUGGGGGAAACCCUGACGCAGCGACGCCGCGUGCGGGAUGAAGGCCUUCGGGUUGUAAACCGCUUUUGAUUGGGAGCAAGCCUUUUGGGUGAGUGUACCUUUCGAAUAAGCGCCGGCUAACUACGUGCCAGCAGCCGCGGUAAUACGAAGGGGGCUAGCGUUGUUCGGAUUUACUGGGCGUAAAGCGCACGUAGGCGGACUUUUAAGUCAGGGGUGAAAUCCCGGGGCUCAACCCCGGAACUGCCUUUGAUACUGGAAGUCUUGAGUAUGGUAGAGGUGAGUGGAAUUCCGAGUGUAGAGGUGAAAUUCGUAGAUAUUCGGAGGAACACCAGUGGCGAAGGCGGCUCACUGGACCAUUACUGACGCUGAGGUGCGAAAGCGUGGGGAGCAAACAGG